rnacentral:rRNA from 1 species
GUAGUAAUAUUAAAUAGUUUUUUAGUGUUUUAAGCUCAAAAAAGCAAAAAUUAUAAAAGAAAUAAUUGUUAAAAGAUGGGUUUGUGGAAGAUUAGGUUGUUGGUAGAAAUAAAAGUUUACCAAGCCUUUGAUCUUUAGUUGGUCUUAGAGGACGUACAACCACACUGGAACUGAGACAAGGUCCAGGCUAAUUUUUUGGCCAGCAGUGAGGAAUAUUGGACAAUGAACGAAAGUUUGAUCCAGCAAUAUUAUGUGAAUGAUU